AGAGUUUGAUCAUGGCUCAGAAUGAACGUUGGCGGCGUGGAUUAGGCAUGCAAGUCGCGCGUGUACCCGCAAGGGGAAAGCGGCGAAAGGGAGAGGAAUACACGGAUACCAACCCUCGGGUCGGGAAUAGCCACGGGAAACUGUGGGUAAUGCCCGAUAACGUCUCCGGACCAAAGGUGUGACUCCGCCUGAGGACGGGUCCGUGUCCCAUCAGCUAGUUGGCGAGGUAAUGGCUCACCAAGGCGAUAACGGGUACUGGGUGUGAGAGCACGACCCAGCUCACUGGGACUGAGAACUGCCCAGACACCUACGGGUGGCUGCAGUCGAGAAUCUUCGGCAAUGAGCGCAAGCUUGACCGAGCGACGCCGCGUGUGGGAUGAAGGCCUUCGGGUUGUAAACCACUGUCGUUGAGAAGGAAAUGGGCGAGGGUACUCCCUCGUUUUUGACUGACUCGAGGAGGAAGGACGGGCUAAGUUCGUGCCAGCAGCCGCGGUAAUUC
rnacentral:rRNA from 1 species